GAUUAUCACAUUUGUGGUGGUGAUUACUUAUGUAGUGUCAAGUUAAGUCGUCUUUUUUAAUAACUCUGUAUUGUGUAACUGACUUGAAUAAUGAAUCUUCCUAUGAUACUAAUUACAAUUCUAUUCUUCUUAAGGAAAUGAUUUAUCUAUAUGGACUGGCGCACAUAGUCCUAACCAUGACGAGAAUUUUGUAUUUGCCGUUGAAAAUUCUGCUUUUUUAUUGUAUAAUGUUCCAUUUGGAGGAUUAGACGAGGAUGAUAUCGGGGAGGACUGUGUCAAUAUAGAAUUUGAUACUUCAGAUGGCUGGGAAUUUGAAAAUGAAGAAUGUGAUGACCAAUAUCGAUUUAUUUGUGAAUUUCCAAGGAAAACCUGUCCGUAGAAGUGUAUGUAGCCGUUGAUAUAUUCCAAUAGACGAAUAUUUCUUAUCCUUGGCGCAAAAAAAAUAAAAUCAUAUUG